rnacentral:rRNA from 1 species
ACGAACGCUGGCGGCAUGCCUAACACAUGCAAGUCGAACGAACCCUUCGGGGUUAGUGGCGCACGGGUGCGUAACGCGUGGGAAUCUGCCCUUUGCUUCGGAAUAACUCAGGGAAACUUGUGCUAAUACCGGAUGAUGUCUUCGGACCAAAGAUUUAUCGGCAAGGGAUGAGCCCGCGUAGGAUUAGGUAGUUGGUGGGGUAAAGGCCUACCAAGCCGACGAUCCUUAGCUGGUCUGAGAGGAUGAUCAGCCACACUGGGACUGAGACACGGCCCAGACUCCUACGGGAAGCAGCAGUGGGGAAUAUUGGACAAUGGGCGCAAGCCUGAUCCAGCAAUGCCGCGUGAGUGAUGAAGGCCCUCGGGUCGUAAAGCUCUUUUACCAGGGAUGAUAAUGACAGUACCUGGAGAAUAAGCUCCGGCUAACUCCGUG